UCUGACGGCUAAUCACAAUCA
rnacentral:miRNA from 1 species